AAACUUAGGAUAAACCACCUAAACCGAAG
rnacentral:tRNA from 1 species